UACGUAGGGUGCGAGCGUUAAUCGGAAUCACUGGGCGUAAAGGGCGUGUAGGCGGUCAGGUAAGUGAGACGUGAAAUGCCCCGGCUUACCCGGGGACCUGCGUCUCAUACUGCUUGGCUUGAGUACGGGAGAGGGUGUGGGAAUUCCUGGUGUAGCGGUGAAAUGCGUAGAUAUCAGGAGGAACACCGGUGGCGAAGGCGCACACCUGGCCCGAUACUGACGCUGAGGCGCGAAAGCUAGGGGAGCAAACGGG
rnacentral:rRNA from 1 species